CAGGCCUAACACAUGCAAGUCGAACGGUAACAGGAAGCAGCUUGCUGCUUCGCUGACGAGUGGCGGACGGGUGAGUAAUGUCUGGGAAACUGCCCGAUGGAGGGGGAUAACUACUGGAAACGGUAGCUAAUACCGCAUAACGUCGCAAGACCAAAGAGGGGGACCUUCGGGCCUCUUGCCAUCGGAUGUGCCCAGAUGGGAUUAGCUUGUAGGUGAGGUAACGGCUCACCUAGGCGACGAUCCCUAGCUGGUCUGAGAGGAUGACCAGCCACACUGGAACUGAGACACGGUCCAGACUCCUACGGGAGGCAGCAGUGGGGAAUAUUGCACAAUGGGCGCAAGCCUGAUGCAGCCAUGCCGCGUGUAUGAAGAAGGCCUUCGGGUUGUAAAGUACUUUCAGCGGGGAGGAAGGUGCUGUGGUUAAUAACCGCAGCAAUUGACGUUACCCGCAGAAGAAGCACCGGCUAACUCCGUGCCAGCAGCCGCGGUAAU
rnacentral:rRNA from 1 species